rnacentral:lncRNA from 1 species
GUGAUAUUGAGUCUGUUAUUCUGCACUCUGGAAUGGGGCCCUGCUUUUUCAUCCUGGCUCUCUGUGUUCAACAGGUUUCUCUUUGGCCUCAUGUCUCCUCUCCACCCCUGCGAUUCAUUUUGGUAAUUUGAAAUCCUGUUCCACUUGGUGCAUUGCUGUGCUGAGAAUGACUUGUGGCUCCCUGGAUGGCAGCCCUCACAUCUGUGCUUAUGGAACAAACAGCUGAUGCAGGUGUUCAGGUCCAGUCUGGGGGUAGAAACCUCUCCAACCUGAGCAUGUGCUGUGCACAGGAUCUCUGCUGCUUUUCUCUUACUCCUGCUAUGGAGAUAAGUAUGUUCGCUUUCAGAAAUGUUUCUCAGGCUUUGUUUUUUCUUGACACUCUGCCCUCCACAGUCACUUCAUUGCCUUGUGGCAUGCUGGGGCUAAUUUCAUGGCUUGUUCUGUGGUUGUGGAAUAUCUGCUGUUUCCCAGGAUGUCUGUAAAACAAACUGACAAGCCAUCUUGGUGCUUAGCACAC